GACGAACGCUGGCGGCGUGCUUAACACAUGCAAGUCGAACGGAAAGGCCCUGCUUUUGUGGGGUGCUCGAGUGGCGAACGGGUGAGUAACACGUGAGUAACCUGCCCUUGACUUUGGGAUAACUUCAGGAAACUGGGGCUAAUACCGGAUAGGAGCUCCUGCUGCAUGGUGGGGGUUGGAAAGUUUCGGCGGUUGGGGAGGGACUCGCGGCUUAUCAGCUUGUUGGUGGGGUAGUGGCUUACCAAGGCUUUGGCGGGUAGCCGGCCUGAGAGGGUGACCGGCCCCAUUGGGCCUGAGAUACGGCCCAGCCUCCUCCGGGAGGCAGCGGUGGGGAAUAUUGCACAAUGGGCGGAAGCCUGGUGCAGCAACGCCGCGUGCGGGAUGACGGCCUUCGGGUUGUAAACCGCUUUCGCCUGUGACGAAGCGUGAGUGACGGUAAUGGGUAAAGAAGCACCGGCUAACUACGUG
rnacentral:rRNA from 1 species